rnacentral:rRNA from 1 species
UACGUAGGGGGCUAGCGUUGUCCGGAAUUAUUGGGCGUAAAGAGCUCGUAGGCGGUUUGUCGCGUCGGCUGUGAAAUCCCGAGGCUCAACCUCGGGCCUGCAGUCGAUACGGGCAAACUAGAGUGUGGUAGGGGAGAACGGAAUUCCCGGUGUAGCGGUGAAAUGCGCAGAUAUCGGGAGGAACACCGGUGGCGAAGGCGGUUCUCUGGGCCUGUACUGACGCUGAGGAGCGAAAGCGUGGGGAGCGAACAGG